AUUGAACGCUGGCGGCAGGCCUAACACAUGCAAGUCGAGCGAGCGGCGGACGGGUGAGUAAUGUAUGGGGAUCUGCCAGAUAGAGGGGGAUAACUACUGGAAACGGUUGCUAAUACCGCAUACUAUCUUCUUAACCCCUAUGUGAUUAGCUAGUAGGUGGGGUAAAGGCUCACCUAGGCGACGAUCUCUUGCUGGUCUGAGAGGAUGACCCGCCAAACUGGGACAGCGGCACGGCCCAGUCGCCUACGGGAGGCAGCGUGGGGGAAUAGUGCACAUUGGGCGCGAGCCUGAUGCAGCCAUGCCUCGUGUAUUGAGAAGGCCUUGGGGUUGGAAAGUACUUUCAGCGGGGAGGCGUGACCCGAAGUAGACGCACCGGGUAACUCCGUGCCAGCAGCCGCGGUAAGAA
rnacentral:rRNA from 1 species